UUGGCAUAAAUAUAGGAGAAAUUUACUGUUUUCAAUAAGACUGAGUUAAACUUGCAUUAAUUUUACUGAUUCCAAAGAGGAAAAAAAAGAAAUUAAGAGUAAGAAUAUUUCUUGAAGAUAAAAGAAUCUGCACAGGGUAAGAAGUUCACUGCUUGGCUUGUGGGCAUGCACCCCUCAGCUUUGCUGCACACAGAGAAGACACCACUGCUACUCUGAAGGGAAAGAGGAUAAGAAUGAAGGGUGAAUGAGGAACCUCAGGUCCUGCUGUGAACACGUAAGCUGUGCUGCUGAUGCUCGUAAUUCCUGCGGAACACGUGGGCGGCUGCCUCUCUCAUUCAGCUAUGAUCGUCCUCUUCCUUUCCCAGACUCCCAUGAAAGCGUGAAAAGUGCAGUUAUUCAUGCACAAUAAGGUGUGAUCGUUAUCGUGACUUGUUUCUGCAAAUGUUGUUAAAACAAGGCAAUAUCUGAAGCUCCACAAAAGCUGUGCCUUUCUCAUGCAAAGCGUAACAUUCCUGGCGAGUCGAAUGCUGUGUCAGAACCGGGAUAUCUCCAGGAGUGUAUGCUGGACUGGACACGUGGAUGAAGGCUGGAAUCAGAAGGGCACAGUCCAGCAGUUGUCAUUACAAUUAAUUGGUGGACUCCAUGGUGUCCUACCAAAGAAACUGAGUACUGGCUUCUGAAGAGUGACUUGUGGAGUAAAACAGCUGUGCUGAAAUAUGGAAAGGUAAUUAUUCUUAAUUGUAUUCACCAGAUGUCAGUCAUACCAACUCAAUUGCAUGCAUCAGUUAAGGUGGGAGUACCUGCCAGAGAAUUGCCUGCUUAGUCUCUUUUUUCAAAAGUCAGGAUGACUGAGUCCACGUCAGACAUGCAUGAACACAUCUGUGCAAGAUUCCCCCCAGACGGGCAAACAUCAAUAUUCCUACAUCAGUGGCCAGAGGCAUGGAUGGGGCUGAGGGACCUGCCAAGAGCUACCAGGGAAGGUCUCAGGCAGCUUCCUGGGAGAGGCUCUGCACCUCCAGAGUCCAGGCACGGACCAGCUUAUCCACCACAGUCUGGUUCUGUGAGAGCUCACAAAUGAAGUGCCUGUUUUUGUAGCUCCAGGCACGAUAUCUGCCUAUAGCCAUACCCUCUCCCAUGAAAACAGACACACCACACUGCUGAGAGCGAAUGCCAGAGAGCCUUGAAAGGAGGCGGUAACUUUGAGAAGAUUGAUUGUUUUCUUCCCCAAAGAACUGCUGUUUCCCUAUAAUUUAGGUUUCAAGACUCUUUUUCUACCUGGACUGAGUUUCAGGAAAACCUUACGUGAUGCACAAAAUCAAACCCUAGCUGCCUGAUUUAUAUUUUAAAAAUAAAACAGCUAGAGCAAGGAUUUUUUUUUUUUUUUUUAGACUGAAGGACUGAUUUUUAUUCUUAUCAUUACUUCUAUAAUAUAUAAGACUUCUGUAAUCAAUAGUACAUAUUUAGAGUUAUUGGGAGAUAAUUCAUGUUGUUCUGCAGUGUCUGGCCAGGUAAAGGGCAAAGGUUUAAUGCAGUCUCACUACACUUGAUUUAAUAAGGUCAGUCACAACUCCAUACAAAUUCAGAUUAGUAUAACUUAAUUAAGCGCUUAAAAAUGAUCAGCCUAGCAUUUUACUGUGUUGCAGGCCAACUUGUCCUUUCCUUUCAGAGAACAGGGUAAUAAAACUACUCGCAUUACUUUCCCAGGUGAAGUGGUACACAAUUUUGCCAUUGAUGUCACACGGGGGAAAAAGGCAUCAGUUACAAACGUUAACCCAUCAUCCCAUCGCAUUGUACUGACCCUUCAAGCUCACAGUCUCCUUCUACAUAUGAAAGAGAGGCAGUAGGGUUGUAAUCACAUGCUCAGAAGUGUAUUUCAGGCAUUUCGGCACAGCCUCUAAUUAUAUUGUCACACGCAAUUCUUUCUCACAAACCUCUGGCCUCAUUUGGGGCACAGAAUGCCCCGCACUCACCUGUUAGGUAGUUAUUAAGUACUAUAUUUUCUUCACUCGAUGUGGGUCCCAUACCUAAUUUACCAUAUUCUAUUCAAAUUUUCCUCUGAAAAGUGACUGAUAGGUGUCCUCGGAUGUGAGUUUGUGGCUUCAGUGCUCUGCUGAGUUAGUUGCUUCACAAACAUCAGUGAAUUUAUUUGCAGAGCGUGUCUGUGAGAGGAGAGGGUGCUUCACAAAUGGGAACUUAAAUGCUGAGAAUAUGACAGCAAAACGUCCACUAAUUUAGCUGACAAGUUUGAAAGGUUUGAAUUUUAAGAAGACAUCGAAAUUAUGCAUGUGGUGCCUAAA